rnacentral:lncRNA from 1 species
AUCUAAAGACAUUGGAGAUGAUCUUAUAGGAUUUUACUAACAUAUAUAAGGAUAUACAUGAAUAAAAAACAUUUAAAUGUAGAUACAUACAGAUUUUAAGUAUAUGUAGUCACACUGAGAUCUGUUUUGCGAUGAAGAUAAUACUCUUGUACUGUAUAUCGUAAUCUGAGAUUUUGGUAUGUUUAAUUAGCUUUAUCAUUCUGUCAAAAUAUUUCCAACAAAUCUAACAAACGAAACGCAUGUGUCUAAUUAGCUCACAUUUCUUAAUAAAGUUUCUAAGGUAUUUGUGAUUUCAAGAAGAGCACAAAAUCAAGAUUUCAAACAAAUGCUACUUAAUUUUUCAUCAAAUGAAAAGAAAAUUAUAGUCAAAGUGAUUACAAUACAUAUAAGAGUAAUUUCACCCACCUACGUAAACAAGUCUAAACCCCUAAUAGUAAAAGAACCACAAAAGAACAGCCUCAACAUGGUAAUAUAUAUGACCAAUGUCAAAUUUGAAAUAGAAAGAAUUAAUUAAAUAUUUUCGACUCUAAACUUAAAACCAAAUAUUCCAAGAGACAUGCAUACCUUCAAGGCUUCAACCAAAAGUUUUUAUUUUUUCUUUAUUGAAAGACUAAAUUAAAAACGAGAUCAUGACAUUGGUGCUCCUUCUCGUAGAUGCAUUCUUUCGUAAGGAAGCCAACAAAGCCAAUCCAAGGAGCUUCGACACAACACAAAUCCUCCAAUGAAUAUGGCUUUCCAACAAAUCGUGUAAAACAUCUUUUUAUUCCCUUUGGAUGUUCAUCAUCUUUACCUGCAAAUGUCACACACCACCGUUGCCUCUUCCGCGAAGCUCCAUUUCUGAUAACAACCAUCGCAGACUCCGACCGCAUCCUCCGACGAUUUGAGGUAAUAUCCGACGCAGUUAACUUCUCUAAGUUAUUCCUGAAGGCAAAAGCAAUGCUUUAGGUUUUCAUUGAUAAUACUCUCUUAACUUUACAAAAGAUGAUGGGGUUUUGUUUAUAUACAACAAGAGAGACAUAGCUAAAACCCUAGAGAGAAACGACAGGUGUCACACAUCAAGCUGGACUCUCUGAAUCAAGGGUCAGGAACCUGUUCUCAAGCUUGAUGUUGAAAGCCUUUUCCGUACUGAGAUUAGGUGAACUUGUCUUGAGGUUGCCAGCUCUGUUCUUGUCGUUACUUGGAGAAGAUGACCGUUGCUUCCAAGUUUGUGUUGUGGGCUUCUUGGGCCUGCAUUGGGCUUUCAUUUGUUUCUUUGCUGAGUUCAGAGAAACUGCAGAGUUUUGAGGCUUCAUUACUUGAAUUGUGUUGAUAAUUCCCAAAGUCUUGUUUCAUGAUUCAUCUUCUUUACUGUAAAGAAAUGAAAAAUGUUCCUUUCUGAUAUUAUAUAUUCACAAAAUUCUGACAUUUUUGACUCUUUUCAUUUCGUAGAUUUAAUUUCGAUUCUCCUCCAAAGAUCCAUCUCAUAUUCUCUGAUGUUCCGGUUACUCCGGGUAAACUCAUGAACCUUGCAUCAUCUUCUUUGUCUCUGAGUAUAAAUAUUAAUUUUUCUGUGCUGUCUUGUUAUGCAUUUUCAUGCCACGUCAAAAUACUGUCACCAUUUGGAUAUAGCACUCGAAAGUUGGUACUUUUUGUUGCUUUAUCAAUCAUUGCAUGAAACGCUGGAUUAGCUGUAUGGUAGACUGCAGACAAGUUGUCACAAAACAAUUCAGGAGUAUCUGGGAGAGGAAUGCCAAGCUCACGGAGAAGAGUGCUCAGCCAGAGGAUCUCAGAGGCAGCAUCAGAUAAGGUGCGGUAUUCAGCUUCUGUGGAGCUUCGGGAGACAGUUGGAUGUUUCUUUGACGACCAUGACACCAGGUUCGUGGCCAUAAAGGUGCAGAGGCCACCAACAGAGCGUCUUGUGAGCUUACAGUUGCCCCAGUCACUGUCACUGUAAGCUUGCAAAAGAGUAGGAGAAUUUUGAUUGUAAGAGAUUCCCAUAGUGAUGGUACCUUUUAUGUACCUUAGAAUCCGCUUCAGAAGAUGAAAGUCUGACAUUGUUGGCUGGUGCAUCUUUUGGCACACGAAGUUUACAGCAAAAUGUAUGUCAGGGCGAGUCAAGGUGAGAUAUUGGAGCUUUCCAGCAAUACUCCUGAAAUAAGUUGGAUCAGUGAAAGGUUCUUCUUGGUGUGGAACUCUGUCAAGCUGAACGGGUAGAGGAGUUGGCAGAGGAGUGCAGUUCUCCAUUGCAGAAGCCACCAAGAGAUCUUCAGCAUACUUCUGCUGAGACAUAAACAGGCCGUGUUGAUUUCGCUGAACCUGAAUUCCCAGGAAGUAGUGGAGUUGUCCCAUAUCAGUCAUUCUGAAUUCUUUGUUGAGAGCUGCUAGAAGACUGGAUAAUGUCUGUGAACUAUUUCCUGUAAUCACCAUGUCAUCAACAUAAAGAAGAAGCAGAAUGAGGUUAUUAUUAUGAGCAUAGAUGAAUAGUGAAGGGUCAGAUUUACUGCAGAAAAAUCCAAACUCCAAGAGAAAGGUGCUGAACUUGUCAAACCAAGCUCUUGGGGACUGUUUUAAACCAUAGAUAGAUUUGUGAAGCAAGCAAACAUGAGUUGGUUUACUCUUAUCAACAAAACCAGCAGGCUGAGUCAUGUAAACAGUCUCAUUUAGAUCGCCAUGUAAGAAGGCGUUUUUAACAUCCAUUUGCUUCAACUCCCAGUUCAAAGCAGUAGCCAAAUGGAGAACCAAUUGGACUGUAGGUGUUCUUACUACAGGACUGUAGGUCUCAAGAUAGCCAAUCCCUUCUUCUUGAAGAAAACAUUUUGCAACUAUCCGAGCCUUGAGCUUAUUUAAGGUUCCAUCAGCGUGGAGUUUAGUCCGGAAGACCCAUUUGCUUCCAAGAACAUGCAUGUUAGGUGUGUAUGGCACCAGGGACCAUGUAUUAGUUUCAGAACAGUUGCCCAUUUCUUCUGUCAUGGCGCCUGUCCAACCCGGAUGCUUUAAAGCCGCAGUUACUGUCUUUGGCUCAGGAUAAGUAACCUUGUGAGACAGAAAAACAUAACGAGGAUUUGGUUUUGUGAUUCCCACCUUAGCUCUUGUGAUCAUUGGGUGAGUGUUAGUAGGAGGUGGAGCUUGUUGAGUAGGAACUGGAGCUGCCAUGAGAUCUUCUACAGUGUCAUCCACCAAAAGCUGGGAUGAGUGAGAGCUGUCGCCAAUAGAAGCAGAAUCGAAGUUUAUCGUACGCUCAGAACUCUCAUUCACCACAGCAGGUGGAUGAGUUGAAUUGAUUGUUGUUGUUGAAGGUUGAGACACAAGUGCAGCAGCAGAAUUCUGAGACAACUGAGGGCUUCUCCGUGGUAAAGGAGGAAAAUCAGCAGCAGUAAAAAGAGGAGGCGUGGGUAGUGUUGCCUUUCUCUGUGGUGGUUGUGCUGGAGACACUUUUGGUGGUGCCUGAGACACGGAGGAUUCAAACCCCUUGAACCAUGCUGCAAGUAAUGGAGUUGUAGGCUGCGAAUGAAGGUGUUUAUAGUGAUGAGAGAAAGGAUAAGCUGUUUCAUCAAAAAUCACAUGCCUGCUUAUAUAAACCCGUCCUGUAGGUGGAUAUAAACACCUAUACCCCUUGUAUUUGUCAUUGUACCCCAGGAAAACGCACUUAAGAGAGCGAGGGUCAAAUUUGUUCAUAGCAUAGUCACGCAUAGUUGGAAAACAAGCACAACCGAAAGAUCUGAGAGCUGUAUAGUCCGGAGUCGUCUGAUGCAGCUUUUCAUAAGGUGAAAUAGCAUCCUCAACAGCAGAUGUAGGGAGAAGAUUAAUCAGAAAGUUGGCAGUGAAGAAGGCUUCAACCCAAAACUUAAGAGGGACUUUACUCUGAAACAGCAUAGAUAAGCCUAAUUCCACCAAAUGCCUGUGCUUCCUUUCUGCUAGUCCAUUUUGUUGAGGAGUGUGAGGAUAUGAGAUGUGUUGUUGUAUCCCAUGAUUCUGAAGAUGUUGCAGAAACUUAUGAUUGACAAACUCUCCACCACCAUCACAUUGAAACACACUAAUCUUAUGAUUAAGUUGGUUUUCAACUAGCUUGUGAAAUGCAACAAAGAUAUUGUAGAAAUCUGACUUGAGCUUCAAAGGAUAAAUCCAACUGAAUCGAGAAUAAUGAUCAAUAAAGACUGCAUAAUAUCUAAAGCCUUGUACAGAAGUAAUUGGAGAGGGUCCCCACAAGUCACAGUGAACCCUCUCAAGAGGUCUAUUUGAAGUAAAUGAAGAAGAAACAAAUGGCAGCCUAGUGCUCUUCCCAAGCUGACAUGCUUCACAGAGUGACUUAGAAGUCUUAUUGAUAGAGAUAGAGUUGGUCUUGACCAGUUGCUGCAGGACUUGAGGAUGAGGAUGUCCAAGGCGUCUGUGCCACACUUCAUCACUUGCGGACUGCUGACGAGUGGAGAAGAAAGCCUUGAACUGAGAGUCAUCCUUCAGACAAUAUAAACCAUCACAAGUGCUUCCCAUUAUGAGAAGCUUCUUGGUUGCCUUAUCAUUGAUACGCACACCAUCAGAGUCAAACUCAACAGUACAUGGAUAAUCUUGAGUAAGCUUAGACACAGACAAGAGAGAUUUCGUUAUGCUUGGGCAAACAAGAACAUCAGUGAGAGGGACAUUACCUGAUGAGGAAGCCAAGUUUGUUGAGCCAGUGUGUGUAAUGGGCAGAAAAUUACCAUCAGCAACCAUGACAGCAUCAGAUCCAUGGUAUGGUUGAGAUUGUUGCAGGGAUCGAGGACUGUUUGUGACAUGAGCAGUUGCAGCAGAAUCUGGAAGCCAUUCAUUGCCAUGUUGAUCUGUAAUAUCAGUGAUGCGCAUUGCAGCUAAGGCACGAGGAAGCUCUUCGUAUUGGUAGCUGUUGUUGAAGCGAUGCCAACACUUAAGAGCUGGAUGACCCAUUUUCCCGCAAAUCUGACAGACAACCGAAGUACCACCAGACUGAGAACCUGAAGAACUGUUUGUUGAAGAUAUCUGCUGAUGGAAACCACGACCACGAGUACUAAAUGAGUUUCUGCCUCUGUUAGAUUUCCCUUUGCCACGAUUGUAAGCAUUGAAGUAACCAGAAGCAUUAGAGUCAUCUGAAGUGGUGAUGUUGAAGGCGACAUGAGGUGAAACUGCUGUCUCUUCAAGAUAACCCUGAAGUCGAUCGUCAUAGCCUGUAAGCUUAGGAAUAACAUCCUCUAGACUAGGACCAGGCAGAGCAUCCAUGGAGUUUUCAAUAGUGGUUUUGAUAGGCUCAUACUCUCGCCCUAACCCAUUCAAAGCAGCAAAAAUCUUCAUCUUUUCUGUUACAGGACUUCCUACAGAGGCUAGUUGGUCACAAAUAGUCUUAAGGUCCUUAAGAUAUUCAUCCAUAGAUUUAUCACGUUUGCUAACAUUUUGGAGGCGUCUUUGCAGCUCAAAUAACCUAGAGGAGGAAACCCUAUUAAAGUGGUUUGCUACAGAGAUCCAUACCUCAUGAGAAGUGUUGCAGUUGACCACAACACUGAGAAUAUCUUCUAAGAAAGAACCAAGGAGCCAGGAUUUGACAACUCGAUCUGUCUUGAACCAGGUGUAGUACUCAGGAUUGGGUGAAGCCGAUGUUGACCCAUCAAUGUCUGAAACAACGCUGGUUUGGCUUGGUGCAGGAAUCGAGCCUGUGACAAAACCCAGAAGCCCUUGACCAUCAAGAAAAGAUUCGAACUGAGAUUUCCAGAGAAUAUAGUUCUUGGCAGUAAGAGUGACGGUGACACAAUUUGAAAUAUUGAGAGAAGGAACAGAGUAGAGUUCCAUGGAUCUAUGUUCCAUGAGCUCUGAUACCAUGAAGGCAAAAGCAAUGCUUUAGGUUUUCAUUGAUAAUACUCUCUUAACUUUACAAAAGAUGAUGGGGUUUUGUUUAUAUACAACAAGAGAGACAUAGCUAAAACCCUAGAGAGAAACGACAGGUGUCACACAUCAAGCUGGACUCUCUGAAUCAAGGGUCAGGAACCUGUUCUCAAGCUUGAUGUUG